AGAAGACGGAACCUGUGAAUAAAGUCAUUGUACCUACACAUAGACAUGACGUUUCGAUCAAUCAGGCAUUACUGCAGCACCUAUAUCCAUUUGCAGUUACGUGGAAACAAUAUGAUGAUAUAAAUCAAUCGAUAAUAUAAUUAUUCAAUCAGUCUAGGUAUAGACAUGAAUUAUGAAUUGUUUCUAUUGAACAGCUUAACAUGAAAAGGAUAAAAGAAGACGGAAUCGGUGAAUAAAGUCAUAAUACAUAGGCAUGUUUCGAUCAAUCAGUCAUUACUGCAGCACCUAUAUCCACCUGCAGGAUCAGUACAACAAUAUGAUACUGACGGACGUGACGUGCCACGCGAAGGAAAUAGAAGACGGCCGGCGAACAACGCGCGCCAAUAAUAUUAUAUUAUAUGUUAAAAUAUAUACCUAUAUAAUAAUAUCAUAACAAUCGGGGCGGCAUCGUCACGAUAAUAUUAUUAUA